rnacentral:rRNA from 1 species
AUUGAACGCUGGCGGCAUGCCUUACACAUGCAAGUCGAACGGCAGCACGGGAGCAAUCCUGGUGGCGAGUGGCGAACGGGUGAGUAAUGUAUCGGAACGUGCCCAGUCGUGGGGGAUAACGUAGCGAAAGCUACGCUAAUACCGCAUACGAUCUAUGGAUGAAAGCGGGGGAUCGCAAGACCUCGCGCGAUUGGAGCGGCCGAGAUCAGAUUAGGUAGUUGGUGGGGUAAAGGCUCACCAAGCCGACGAUCUGUAGCUGGUCUGAGAGGACGACCAGCCACACUGGGACUGAGACACGGCCCAGACUCCUACGGGAGGCAGCAGUGGGGAAUUUUGGACAAUGGGCGCAAGCCUGAUCCAGCAAUGCCGCGUGCAAGAUGAAGGCCUUCGGGUUGUAAACUGCUUUUGUACGGAACGAAACGGCGAGCUCUAAUACAGUUUGCUAAUGACGGUACCGUAAGAAUAAGCACCGGCUAACUACGUGCCAGCCGCCGCAGUAA